AAAAAAAAAAAAAAAAUUCAUGAACGGUUUCGUACCAAAACACAUGCUGUUCAUGACAGAUGCAAAUUAGCAAGAAAAGAAUCUCGAUUUUAUUAUCAAUUAAGCUCCAAAUCUCCAAACCCCUUACAAAAUCCCUAUCAUUUCUCCACCUUCUAAUCAUAUCAUAACAUUAAUCCAUCCUGUUCAGCAAAUUAAACUAAAUUUGUGUUGUUGUUGGUGUAUUAUCACCAUUUUCAGUUGUUGGACUCAAUUCAAUCGAAUUCAAGUUUAUGCUUGCGUGUACUGGGGAGAUCAAAUUUAAGGAAUUAGUCUAUUACCCAUUUCGCCUGGACAUGGCGGGGCAAAAUCAGGUAUCCAGCAUUGAUCAAUUCGAAGCUUACUUCAGGAAAGCUGAUUUAGAUGGCGAUGGCAGGAUCAGUGGAGAUGAAGCUGUCGCUUUCUUUCAAGGAGCCAAUUUGCCUCAACAAGUUCUUGCCCAGAUCUGGAUGAAUGCUGAUCAGAGUCAUAACGGCUUCCUUGGUCGUGCGGAAUUUUAUAAUGCUCUCAAACUUGUGACAGUUGCGCAGAGUAAAAGAGAAUUGACCCCAGACAUUGUCAAGGCAGCAUUAUAUGGCCCUGCUGCAGCUAAAAUUCCACCACCAAAAAUUAAUCUUCCGAACACUCCUGUGCAACGGGUAAAUUCAAUGGGUGCUGUAUCUGCCCCACAGAUGGGUGCAGUUGCUGCAACAGCAUCACAGAAUCUUGGCUUUAGAGGGCCAGGAGUUCCAAAUGCUAUUAUGAAUCAGCAUUACUUUCCUUCUCAACAAAGUCAGUCAAUAAGACCACCUCAGGCUAUCCCUCCUGGAAUUGCUUCCUGUCCCCCUCAGGGCAUCAUUAGUCCAGAAUUCUCUAGAGGUAGUAUGCCUACAAGCACUGCUUCUUAUCCCUCUCAAUCCAUUCCUGGUUCCAUUUCUAGUCCCAGCAUCCCAAAUUCAAACAUCUCAACCGGUUGGACUGGUGGAAAGACUAGUGCAGCUUUGACUGGCCUUCCAUCUACACCCAAUGCUACAAUGCAGCCACAAACUCAAGUUUCUGUGUUGUCCCAGCCAACUGCAAAUGAUUCUAAAGCAUUAGUUGUUUCUGGAAGUGGGUUUGCAACUGGCCCAUCUUUUGGAGGUGGUGUGUUUUCUGCCAUCUCUCCUAUUGGAAAACAAGAAACUUCUGCGCCUACUUAUUCUUCUAGUGGUUCACCUGCUUUAGCAACUGCAGUUCCAGCUCCUAGUGGGGGCCACCUUCCUGUUAAGUCCAACUCACUUGAUUCACUGCAUAGUGCUUUUGCCAUGCAACCUAUGGGUGGUCAGCUUCAACGAGUUCAAUCACUUCCAACAUUAGACCAACCGGUUUCAACUUCAAUUUCUUCCUCACUCACAUCCCCUAGCACUUCAGUUGGAGUUGGAAAUUCAUCUGAUAAUUCACAGAUCCCAUGGCCAAACAUGAAACAAUCUGAUGUUCAGAAAUAUACUAAAGUGUUUAUGGAAGUAGAUACAGACAGAGAUGGAAGAAUCACUGGUGAGCAGGCACGUAAUCUAUUUUUGAGUUGGAGGCUACCACGAGAGGUUUUAAAGCAGGUCUGGGACUUAUCUGAUCAGGACAGUGAUAGCAUGCUUUCUUUGAGGGAAUUCUGCUUUGCUCUUUAUUUGAUGGAGCGUUACAGGGAAGGUCGUCCUCUUCCUGCAUCACUUCCAAGAAACGUUAUGUUAGAUGAGACACUAUUGUCCAUGACAGGUCAACCAAAAGUUGCUUAUGGAAAUGCAGCAUGGGGUCAAAGCCCUGGUUUUGGACAAUUGCCUGGAAUGGGUACUCAACCGAUAGCUCCUGCCACUGGUUUGAGGCCACCAGUUCCAGUGACCGGACCCUGGGCUCUGCCUGACGGUGUAAUGGCAUCUAAUCAGCAGAAGCCAAGAGCACCUGUUUUGGAGGAUUCCUUUCUGAAAAAAAGUGAUGGUGGAGAGGAGAACUCAGUGCCUCAGGAUGGAACAGCCUCAGAUAAAAAGGCAUCAUUCUCUCUUAUAUAUUGUGUGAUUGAAUUGGAAAUUUUAUUUCUUAGAGUUUUUUGACAUUUUGAUCAUCAGAAUGAGUUUGAUGGCAGAAGCAAAAUCAUAAAUACACCACUUGACUUGAUUGUGAAAAAUCAGUUUUUCAAUGCUUCUAAUUUCAUUGCAAAGAAUGGUAGAGGAGCAUGAAUGCAUGAUUUUGGGUGAUUUCUUCUUGUGCAAAUUAAAAUUUGGCUGAGUUAUUCGUUCAUAUAUUGGUCAUGAAUAAAAUGACAUUCUGAAUUAUUUUUAUUGAACUUUUGCUUGAAUUUCAUUUAUUGGUCAUGAAAUCAUGAUGAAAAUUGAGUCCAAAUUUGUAUACCUGAACGCCACAUGUUCAAUGCAUAACCUGUAGUUAGUGUUAGUCUUUGCAUGUCUACUAAGAGAUUCAUUAUUCUGUAGUCUCCUAGUCGGUUAUUUGUUUCUGGAAUGUCUGAUGUUAAUUUGCUCUUCAAGUAAUCAAAACUCAUCAUUGUUUUGUGUAAUGGAUGCCAUCCCAUUGUUAUCUGUUAGUGGUUUUUUUAUCCUUCUUUUUUGCAAUUAUUAUUAUUUUUCAUCCUUUUCUUGUAAUGGUCUCUUAUUGUUUGCGUUUUGGGGGAAAUAUAUAAUUUUGAAAUGAAUGGCAUCUUCCCCCAUGAGAAGUUAUUUACCAUCUAAUUUCUAAAUUUAAAAGUAUAAAAGUACUUUUGAACAAUAUAAGGGUGUCUUAAAUUUGUUGUAGGUUGAUGAAACAGAAAAGGUGAUUUUGGAUUCAAAAGAGAAGAUUGAGUUUUACCGCACUAAAAUGCAGGAUCUUGUUCUUUAUAGAAGUAGAUGUGAGAAUAGGCUAAAUGAAAUCACGGAAAGGGCCCUGGCAGAUAAGCGUGAGGCAGAGAUGCUGGGUAAGAAAUAUGAAGAGAAGUACAAGCAAGUGGCAGAAGUGGCAUCUAAAUUAACUAUUGAAGAGGCCACAUUCCGUGACAUUC
rnacentral:misc_RNA from 1 species